UACAGACCGCCGUCAUAUAUCUGGAAUAUUGCUGAGUGCGGCGUAAAACAACCAACCAACCAACCAACCCAACUGCGUGGAUCGAUGCUCAUGAUAUGCGUGGAUUGAUGCACUGGUCAUAGUAUCACUUCCAACAUACAGACAAAACUCCCGUCGUCAAUACCUUUGUCAACAAACUCGACAUCUUGGCCACGUCUCAUGGUCACGAAACACUAGAUCCUCAUGGUUUAGUCACAAAACAGAUAUGCUAUACUCUUUGUAUCUAACACCGAAAAACUAUCGAUCUAAAUGCUGAAAAAGAGAUUUUGUUCCUUCUCUGGGACACGAAUUGUUGACAGAAAAAUCAUUGGAAUGAUAUCAUAUUAUCCAUGCAGGAAGGAGAAUACAUGCAGGUACACAGCCCAUCGUUUACGCCUCGUUAUGGCCGACAGCUACAACUGAAUGAAAGAAAACUGCGCAACAAUUCUAUCAGCAUGGGCCCUGACAUGCUUGUUGAUCAUACGGAAGCAUGAUUUCAAAUUGGCCUGCAUUAUUCAGUGUGUUCGGGUGUAUUUAAUACUUCGAGAGAUAAAGACGUGAAUGUGAUUACUGUGAGGACACUUUGAACGACUUGUUUUGACAUUUCAUUUCGCCAUGGACAUUUUGGGAUUUUGACUAAGGAACUAUAAGUGACAAGGAACACUGCCAAAUGUUUCGAAUCAGCUUUUCAGGAAAGGAUGAGACGUCCAAGAAGUGCGAUCUCAAAGGAUCCUAUAAACUUUAUGUUACUGAUACCAGUUUGUGUCUGUUUAAACCCAAAGGGAACAAGAUCGUCUGUGAGUGAAUGUACGCGUGUAUUAGAGGCUACGGGAAGACGGAAAAUGCCUUCAUAUUUGAAUGUGGGCGCUCCACAGUCUCUGGAGAAGGUGUAUUUCAUUUGAAGACGAAAGAGGGCGGAGCAAUCUAUGAUGCUGUCCACCAGAAAGUCACACAAAUGAAGGACGCUGAAGGAUGCAAACCAGGUCAGAAGGAUGGCGGCCCAUCAGCGUCUGCCGAUUCUACCUGCUGUGACCCUCAGUAUCUGAAUCCAAGACAUCAGCCAAGCAUAAGACGGGAAAACGUAUAUGACUUGUAUGAGAACGCAUGAAGUAUGUGUUACCAGUAUUACUGCAGGACAUCUGUUCGUUACGGCGGGAAUCGAUACUCUAGUUUUUUAAGAGUUAGGACAUUGGUGUCAUACGAUAUAACUAUACGUGACCACAUAGCUUUACAAAUAUCAGGUACUUUCCCCCUGUUAAAUAAACAUUGCUAAACCAA